AUUGAACGCUGGCGGCAGGCCUAACACAUGCAAGUCGAGCGGAUGAAGGGAGCUUGCUCCUGGAUUCAGCGGCGGACGGGUGAGUAAUGCCUAGGAAUCUGCCUGGUAGUGGGGGAUAACGUCCGGAAACGGGCGCUAAUACCGCAUACGUCCUGAGGGAGAAAGUGGGGGAUCUUCGGACCUCACGCUACCAGAUGAGCCUAGGUCGGAUUAGCUAGUUGGUGGGGUAAAGGCAUACCAAGGCGACGAUCCGUAACUGGUCUGAGAGGAUGAACAGUCACACUAGAACUGAGACACGGUCCAGACUACUACGGGAGGCAGCAGUGGGGAAUAUUGGACAAUGGGCGAAAGCCUGAUCCAGCCAUGCCGCGUGUGUGAAGAAGGUCUUCGGAUUGUAAAGCACUUUAAGUUGGGAGGAAGGGCAGUAAGUUAAUACCUUGCUGUUUUGACGUUACCAACAGAAUAAGCACCGGCUAACUUCGUG
rnacentral:rRNA from 1 species